UACGUAGGGGGCUAGCGUUGUCCGGAAUCAUUGGGCGUAAAGAGCUCGUAGGCGGCUCGGUAAGUCGGGUGUCGAACCCCCAGCUCAACCUGGGGACGCCACCCGAUACUGCUGUGGCUAGAGUCCAGUAGGGGAGUGUGGAAUUCCCGGUGUAGCGGUGAAAUGCGCAGAUAUCGGGAAGAACACCCGUGGCGAAGGCGGCUCUCUGGGGACGGUACUGGACGCUGAGACGCGAAAGCGUGGGGAGCGAACAGG
rnacentral:rRNA from 1 species